rnacentral:rRNA from 1 species
AACGAACGUUGGCGGCGUGGAUUAGGCAUGCAAGUCGAACGCGAAAGUGCCCUUCGGGGCGCGAUUAGAGUGGCGAACUGGUGAGUAACAGGUGGGUAAUGUGCCUCCGAGUGGGGGAUAACCUUUGGAAACAAAGGAUAAUACCGCAUACGGCUUGGGAAUCGUUGGUUUCCCUGGUUAAAGGUGCGCUUCGCGCGUGCCGCUUGGAGAGUAGCCCGCCCCCGAUUAGCUUGUUGGUGGGGUAACGGCCUACCAAGGCGACGAUCGGUAGGUGGCCUGAGAGGGUGGUCACCCACACUGGGACUGAGAUACGGCCCAGACUCCUACGGGUGGCAG